rnacentral:misc_RNA from 1 species
UGACAAUUUACUGCUUGCUCUCUAAUAUCCGAAAAAAGAAUAGAAAAUUCUAGACAUUUCUAGUCUACAACUAUAGAUCAAUACCAUCUCUAUAUGAAUGACAAAAGGUUCCAUGAAGAAAGGAAAAGAACCUGGAUUUCCUAUUUCUUAGAGAUAUAUAAAGCAAAUUAUAGGAUUCUUACUUCAGAAGAACAAUGAAGAGAUUAUAUAUCUCAUCAGAGGACAAUUUCAAUAAUCAGACCGUCAACAUAAAGAUUCUCAAGGGAGAAGACUUUAAAUAGCUUCAUUGAUUUUAGAUAUAUAAAGCUUAUGUAGGGAUGUUACGAGUGACAAUGAAAUGUAA